GCUGGGCACAGUGGCACAUGUCUGUAAUCCCAACAACUCAGGAGGCUGAGGCAGGAGGAUCACUAGUUCAAAGUCAGCCUCAGUAAAUUAACAAGACCCUAAACAACUUAGUGAGAUCCUUUCUUAA
rnacentral:sRNA from 1 species